UCCCUGGUGGACUAGUGGCUAGCAUGCAAUGCUCUCACUGCCAUGGCCUGGGUUCGAUUCCUGGUCAGGGAA